GCUUACCUACGGGGCGCAGCAGUGGGGAAUAUUGCACAAUGGGGGAAACCCUGAUGCAGCGACGCCGCGUGAGUGAAGAAGUAUUUCGGUAUGUAAAGCUCUAUCAGCAGGGAAGAUAAUGACGGUACCUGACUAAGAAGCUCCGGCUAAAUACGUGCCAGCAGCCGCGGUAAUACGUAUGGAGCAAGCGUUAUCCGGAUUUACUGGGUGUAAAGGGAGCGCAGGCGGCGCGUUAAGCCUGGUGUGAAAGCCCGCGGCCCAACCGCGGGACUGCAUUGGGAACUGGCGCGCUGGAGUGCCGGCGG
rnacentral:rRNA from 1 species